GCUUGCAUGAGGCCCUGGUUACAGCAAAGAAGGCGGGAAGCAGGAAGGAAUUCAAUCUCUGGCUUAGAGAAAUCUAAUUCUCUCAAGGCUAUGGCUCAGGGAAGAGGAAUACAGUUGAGCUCUUCCUGAAUCAAAGAGAUGCAGCUGAGAGUCUGGGAAAGCCAAGGGAACUGGAGCCAACAAAAGAGAGAGUCAUAGUGAUCUGAAGACCUCCACCAAACAUUUCCCUGAGGGUUGAUCAGUGUGUGCAUGAGGAACUACUGAGGCUGGGGAAAU
rnacentral:lncRNA from 1 species